rnacentral:rRNA from 1 species
AGAGUUUGAUCAUGGCUCAGAUUGAACGCUGGCGGCGUGCUUAACACAUGCAAGUCGAACGGUAAGGCCCCUUCGGGGGUACACGAGUGGCGAACGGGUGAGUAACACGUGAGCAACCUGCCCUUGACACUGGAAUAACAGUUGGAAACAGCUGCUAAUGCCAGAUAUGACCUUCGGUGGCAUCACCCGAAGGUGGAAAGUGCUUAGCGGUCAAGGAUGGGCUCGCGGCCUAUCAGCUUGUUGGUGAGGUAACGGCUCACCAAGGCUUCGACGGGUAGCCGGCCUGAGAGGGCGACCGGCCACACUGGGACUGAGAUACGGCCCAGACUCCUACGGGAGGCAGCAGUGGGGAAUAUUGCACAAUGGGCGCAAGCCUGAUGCAGCAACGCCGCGUGCGGGAUGACGGCCUUCGGGUUGUAAACCGCUUUCAGUUCCGACGAAGCGCAAGUGACGGUAGAACAGAAGAAGACUGUCCUCCCG